rnacentral:rRNA from 1 species
GACUGGGGCGGUCUCCUCCUAAAGAGUAACGGAGGAGUACGAAGGUGCGCUCAGACCGGUCGGAAAUCGGUCGUAGAGUAUAAAGGCAAAAGCGCGCUUGACUGCGAGACAGACACGUCGAGCAGGUACGAAAGUAGGUCUUAGUGAUCCGGUGGUUCUGUAUGGAAGGGCCAUCGCUCAACGGAUAAAAGGUACUCCGGGGAUAACAGGCUGAUACCGCCCAAGAGUUCAUAUCGACGGCGGUGUUUGGCACCCCGAUGUCGGCUCAUCACAUCCUGGGGCUGAAGCCGGUCCCAAGGGUAUGGCUGUUCGCCAUUUAAAGUGGUACGCGAGCUGGGUUUAGAACGUCGUGAGACAGUUCGGUCCCUAUCUGCCGUGGACGUUUGAGAUUUGAGAGGGGCUGCUCCUAGUACGAGAGGACCGGAGUGGACGAACCUCUGGUGUUCCGGUUGUCACGCCAGUGGCAUUGCCGGGUAGCUAUGUUCGGAAAAGAUAACCGCUGAAAGCAUCUAAGCGGGAAACUUGCCUCAAGAUGAGAUCUCACUGGGAUCUUGAAUCCCCUAAAGGGCCGUCGAAGACUACGACGUUGAUAGGUUGGGUGUGUAAGCGCUGUGAGGCGUUGAGCUAACCAAUACUAAUUGCCCGUGAGGCUUGACCAUAUAACACCCAAGCAAUU